rnacentral:tRNA from 1 species
GGGAGAGGAGAUUAAAUUUACAUCAACUUUGGAAGUAGGCAAACCUGGGUUCAAAUCCUAGCUCUUCCA